CCUACGGGAGGCAGCAGUGGGGAAUAUUGCACAAUGGAGGGAACUCUGAUGCAGCGACGCCGCGUGAGUGAAGAAGUAAUUCGGUAUGUAAAGCUCUAUCAGCAGGGAAGAAAAUGACGGUACCUGACUAAGAAGCACCGGCUAACUACGUGCCAGCAGCCGCGGUAAUACGUAGGGGGCAAGCGUUAUCCGGAUUUACUGGGUGUAAAGGGAGCGUAGGCGGCCAGACAAGUCAGAAGUGAAAGCUCAGGGCUCAACCCUGGGACUGCUUUUGAAACUGCCGGGCUGGAGUGCAGGAGAGGGAAGCGGAAUGCCUAGUGUAGCGGUGAAAUGCGUAGAUAUUAGGAGGAACACCAGUGGCGAAGGCGGCUUACGGGACUGUAACUGACGUUGAGGCUCGAAAGCGUGGGGAGCAAACAGGAUUAGAUACCCCAGUAGUC
rnacentral:rRNA from 1 species